rnacentral:rRNA from 1 species
AAAGAAAAUAACAAUGAUUCCCCUAGUAACUGCGAGUGAAGAGGGACAAGCUCAAAUUUUAAAUCUGUUCGGUUCUACCUGACAGAGUUGUAAUUUAAAGAAACGCUUUCUGUGUCUUGAGUUAAUCAAAAUCCUUUGGAAUGAGGUAUCAUGGAGGGUGACAAUCCCGUUCAUGGUUAAUUCUAAGAUGCUUUAUGAUGCGCUUUCGAAGAGUCGAGUUGUUUGGGAUUGCAGCUCAAAAUGGGAGGUAAAUUUCUCCUAAGGCUAAAUAUUGGCGAGAGACCGAUAGCGAACAAGUACCGUGAGGGAAAGAUGAAAAGAACUUUGAAAAGAGAGUUAAACAGUACGUGAAAUUGUUGAAAGGGAAACGAUUGAAGUCAGUCGUACCAGCGGGAAAUCAACCUUUCGGGUGGGAUUUUGGAGUUUUGAAGUGUGUUAAACCUUUGAGAUUUCAAAAUGUUUGCUCUUUUGGUGUACUUUCUCGUAGGUAGGUUAACAUCGAUUUUGAUCAUCAUAAAAGGAUUGGAGGAAUGUAGCUUCGAUCUCGUAUUGAAGUGUUAUAGCCUUUGGUAAAUGUGAUGAUUAGGAUCGAGGAUUGCAACGAAUACCCUUUUGGGCUAUCCGCCUGAUCUCUGAUACGUGGCCUCGGUAUUGAAAGCGUGCUUAUGAUAUCAAGGUAUUACGGUCAAAAGGUUAGAACGGAUUACAUUCGUUAAGGAUGUUG